ACACGGGUCUGCUUAGUACGGCGAGUGAGCGGCAAAGCUCAAAUUUGAAAUCUGGUACCUUCGGUGCCCGAGUUGUAAUUUGGAGAGGGCAACUUUGGGGCCGUUCCUUGUCUAUGUUCCUUGGAACAGGACGUCAUAGAGGGUGAGAAUCCCGUGUGGCGAGGAGUGCGGUUCUUUGUAAAGUGCCUUCGAAGAGUCGAGUUGUUUGGGAAUGCAGCUCUAAGUGGGUGGUAAAUUCCAUCUAAAGCUAAAUAUUGGCGAGAGACCGAUAGCGAACAAGUACAGUGAUGGAAAGAUGAAAAGAACUUUGAAAAGAGAGUGAAAAAGUACGUGAAAUUGUUGAAAGGGAAGGGCAUUUGAUCAGACAUGGUGUUUUGUGCCCUCUGCUCCUUGUGGGUAGGGGAAUCUCGCAUUUCACUGGGCCAGCAUCAGUUUUGGUGGCAGGAUAAAUCCAUAGGAAUGUAGCUUGCCUCGGUAAGUAUUAUAGCCUGUGGGAAUACUGCCAGCUGGGACUGAGGACUGCGACGUAAGUCAAGGAUGCUGGCAUAAUGGUUAUAUGCCGCCCGUCUUGAA
rnacentral:rRNA from 1 species